rnacentral:rRNA from 1 species
AAUACGUUCCCGGGCCUUGUACACACCGCCCGUCACACCACGAAAGUCGGCAACACCCGAAGCCGGUGGCCUAACCCGUAAGGGAGGGAGCCGUCGAAGGUGGGGUUGGUGAUUGGGUG